rnacentral:sRNA from 1 species
AUGUACCCACGUACAUUCCGGUUCCUCCAUUCCGGUUCCUCCGCGCCGUCCGCCCCCACCUGACGACUGCUCGCUACGUUUUGUUAGCC